CAACAGUUGACAGUCAAAAACAGUAGAUAUAAAGAGUACGUUGCUAAUGCAACAUAUUUUGACAGCUGGUAGCAUCAUAGCAAUAGCACUAAGUAUAAUAGUGAGUUUUUCCGGGAGUUGGAAGUCACGAAAAUGAGAUUAAUCUUUCUUAUUUGGUUUGCAAUACUGACACUCGUCUUUGCUGAACCUAAUCCGAACGAAGAAAUAUGCAAUGGAGAAAUAAAUGAAGAAUUCGGUAUUGAGGGCUUCGAAGAAGAAGAACUUCAAAACAAGUUGGAAGAAAUCUUCACUCCAAUUUUGAUGAACAAUCCAAAUGCAGAAUUAAAAAUUUCUACUUUUAUCGACGUCA